GACGAACGCUGGCGGCGUGCUUAACACAUGCAAGUCGAACGGAAAGGCCCUGCUUUUGUGGGGUGCUCGAGUGGCGAACGGGUGAGUAACACGUGAGUAACCUGCCCUUGACUUUGGGAUAACUUCAGGAAACUGGGGCUAAUACCGGAUAGGAGCUCCUGCUGCAUGGUGGGGGUUGGAAAGUUUCGGCGGUUGGGGAUGGACUCGCGGCUUAUCAGCUUGUUGGUGGGGUAGUGGCUUACCAAGGCUUUGACGGGUAGCCGGCCUGAGAGGGUGACCGGCCACAUUGGGACUGAGAUACGGCCCAGACUCCUACGGGAGGCAGCAGUGGGGAAUAUUGCACAAUGGGCGGAAGCCUGAUGCAGCAACGCCGCGUGCGGGAUGACGGCCUUCGGGUUGUAAACCGCUUUCGCCUGUGACGAAGCGUGAGUGACGGUAAUGGGUAAAGAAGCACCGGCUAACUACGUGCCAGCAGCCGCGGUGAUACGUAGGGUGCGAGCGUUGUCCGGAUUUAUUGGGCGUAAAGGGCUCGUAGGUGGUUGAUCGCGUCGGAAGUGUAAUCUUGGGGCUUAACCCUGAGCGUGCUUUCGAUACGGGUUGACUUGAGGAAGGUAGGGGAGAAUGGAAUUCCUGGUGGAGCGGUGGAAUGCGCAGAUAUCAGGAGGAACACCAGUGGCGAAGGCGGUUCUCUGGGCCUUUCCUGACGCUGAGGAGCGAAAGCGUGGGGAGCGAACAGGCUUAGAUACCCUGGUAGUCCACGCUGUAAACGGUGGGUACUAGGUGUGGGGUCCAUUCCACGGGUUCCGUGCCGUAGCUAACGCUUUAAGUACCCCGCCUGGGGAGUACGGCCGCAAGGCUAAAACUCAAAGGAAUUGACGGGGCCCCGCACAAGCGGCGGAGCAUGCGGAUUAAUUCGAUGCAACGCGUAGAACCUUACCUGGGUUUGACAUGGAUCGGGAGUGCUCAGAGAUGGGUGUGCCUCUUUUGGGGUCGGUUCACAGGUGGUGCAUGCCUGUCGUCAGCUCGUGUCGUGAAAUGUUGGGUUAAGUCCCGCAACGAGCGCAACCCUUGUUCACUGUUGCCAGCACGUUAUGGUGGGGACUCAGUGGAGACCGCCGGGGUCAACUCGGAGGAAGGUGGGGAUGACGUCAAGUCCUCAUGCCCCUUAUGUCCAGGGCUUCACGCAUGCUACAAUGGCUGGUACAGAGAGUGGCGAGCCUGUGAGGGUGAGCGAAUCUCGGAAAGCCGGUCUCAGUUCGGAUUGGGGUCUGCAACUCGACCUCAUGAAGUCGGAGUCGCUAGUAAUCGCAGAUCAGCAACGCUGCGGUGAAUACGUUCCCGGG
rnacentral:rRNA from 1 species